rnacentral:snRNA from 1 species
GGACAUGAGGGUGAUCUGGCUGUGAUGAUUGGCAGGGUUGAUUCAACUGAUCUGUCUGGCUAGGCAGGUGUCCCCUUCUGUCCUCACCACUUCAUGUGCAUCCCUCCCAAAACUGCACACUUGAUCAAAGAGAAUGACCAUCGCCAAUAGAGGAGGACCACUCUUUGGUCAAGGGCAUGCGAGUAGCUGCGCUCCCCUGCUAGAACCUUGAAACAUGCUCUCAAGGACAAGAAAAUAGAUAAGGAAGUAGAAUGAAGAAUUAAGAGGGAAGUUCAGUUUUUGAAGCAACUGAGGUGAUCUUUUAAGAUUU